GGGUCAGUAGGUUGGUCGUGCCACCGGUACGUACUGGUCUCACUGAUUCCUCCUUCCUGAAGAACCGUAAUGCCAUUAAUUUGGUGCUGCGGGGAAACAGGACUGUUACUUUGAAAAAAUUAGAGUGUAUAAAGCAAGCUAACGCUUGAAUACAUUAGCAUGGAAUAAUGAAAUAGGACGAUCGAUCCUAUUUUGUUGGUUUCUAGGAUUGACGUA
rnacentral:rRNA from 1 species